GCCUUUGUAGCUUAACUGCCAGAGCUUCCUGUCAUCAUAGCUGGUUCAAAAUUUUAAGAGGGAGCCGUCGGUUCGACUCCCGUCGAGGGCG